AGGGAAUCUUCCACAAUGGACGAAAGUCUGAUGGAGCAACGCCGCGUGAGUGAAGAAGGUUUUCGGAUCGUAAAACUCUGUUGUUGGAGAAGAAUGUAUCUGAUAGUAACUGAUCAGGUAGUGACGGUAUCCAACCAGAAAGCCACGGCUAACUACGUGCCAGCAGCCGCGGUAAUACGUAGGUGGCAAGCGUUGUCCGGAUUUAUUGGGCGUAAAGCGAGCGCAGGCGGUUUUUUAAGUCUGAUGUGAAAGCCUUCGGCUCAACCGAAGAAGUGCAUCGGAAACUGGGAAACUUGAGUGCAGAAGAGGACAGUGGAACUCCAUGUGUAGCGGUGAAAUGCGUAGAUAUAUGGAAGAACACCAGUGGCGAAGGCGGCUGUCUGGUCUGUAACUGACGCUGAGGCUCGAAAGCAUGGGUAGCAAACAGGAUUAGAUACCCUGGUAGUCCAUGCCGUAAACGAUGAGUGCUAGGUGUUGGAGGGUUUCCGCCCUUCAGUGCCGCAGCUAACGCAUUAAGCACUCCGCCUGGGGAGUACGAUCGCAAGAUUGAAACUCAAAGGAAUUGACGGGGGCCCGCACAAGCGGUGGAGCAUGUGGUUUAAUUCGAAGCAACGCGAAGAACCUUACCAGGUCUUGACAUCUUCUGAAAAUCUUAGAGAUAAGACGUUCCCUUCGGGGACAGAAUGACAGGUGGUGCAUGGUUGUCGUCAGCUCGUGUCGUGAGAUGUUGGGUUAAGUC
rnacentral:rRNA from 1 species